UGUGCGGCUGGACGGUCUGCUGGUGAAGGUCAAGUAUGUCUGCUGCUGCUGUGAGUAACAUUUAGCCUCAAAAGCUCGUAAUUAAACCGGUGUGUAUCGUCUCAAGACGGCAGGAAACAACAGAGGACACCGACAAGAAAUCACAGCAAGUCAUUCAGGCGUUACACCGUGUUUGGUGACCCAGCAGAUCCGUGCAGGAAGAAGGUAGAUUUUGCACGUCAUCAACAUCAAAGAGGGUUCAGCAAGAAGCCAAACUCAAGUCAGCUCAAGUGCUCUGUGCCGAGCCGCAGUUUCCCCCUCCUGAUUUACUGAAUGGAUUCCCUCUUUCUGGGAUUUUAUUCCGCGUGAUGGAUUUGCCACUUGCGACUCACUUCAUGGGCUUGAACAUGGCUUGUCCAUAGUUAGGAAAUGACAUCACCAGCUUCAGUUGCGUCCCCCCAGACUUCUGCACUGAAAAACAAUGGCAAGAACGUUUCUAUAGCAACAAAGCACACACAGUUUGCACACACACACACACACAAACACACACAUGCCACACACCGCGCUGUGACCAAACAUGAAGGCCUUUAAUGGGGCGCACACACUCAAAAUAUAACAAAGAAUAUGUGUGAGUCAUCGCGAUAUAACACAGUUCACUCACACCCAUGUGUCAUCUCACACACACACACACACAACCUUACUUGUAUUCAUUCACGUGUCACUCAGCCUUCACCCUCUAACACGGUAUUAGCAGAGACAUUAGGUACAAUAAAUCAGAACGACGUAUUCUAAAUGUUUCUUUAAGUCCAUUUAUAUAUUUUCUACUACAUAUAAAUUGAUCAUUAUUUCUUCAACUGAGUACAUGUAUCUCUUUAUCUCCAUCUUCAGUUAUUAAGACAAAGCCCCGGCUGCCUAACAAGCACCCUGUUGUUGCACAUUCUUACCGUCCUUGAUCUGUUUUGAUUACAGUCACUGUCACGCUGGGCUGUAACAGGCACACACACUCAGUCUUUUCUGUGAGCUCGCUUUGAAGUUUAAUAUCAAAAAGAAUUAAUCAAAGCCAGGAACAAAAUUUGCAUCGGUGAGAAAUUAACUGUUUGUUCCGCUGUUUUGUUACUGGAAGAGGAAAAUGGGGGGGGGGGGGGAUGAUUAGAAUGUGAGGCCUCGUGUUUUCAAAUUACGUGCAGUUUGUCAAGGUUGAGUGAAGAUUCGAACACAAAAAAAAAAAAAAACCUGCGUCCUUUCUAUAUUUAUGCCGCCGCUUCUGCAUGGAAACCUUGUGUGUGUGUACUCGACUGGUCUGAGAUGUUCUUGAGACAUUCUCAAGUCUGAGACCUGAUAUAAUUUUUUCAUUUUGCUUUGUAUCUCUGUUUUCUGAGGCUAACUCUUCACAGUAACUGCUCAGCUAAAAGUGUCAGAAGUGGGUGCACGAGCUUCAGUGUAAAGAAACAAUAAUAAUAAUAAAAAAAAAAUCUUUUCAAAUCGAUUUAGUAUCUCAGAGCUUUCAGACACUUUGGUUACGCUGGGCGAGAUGUGUGGAGUUUUAAAACAAGUUUUAUGUUU